UGAUAGACAUGGCCUAAAAGAUUCCAGACAGAGGCUGCCAACCCUCCACCAGAUCACCGUGGAGACACAGUUGACCCUGUCAUAGACGAGGGUCGUCCCAACUUCUCAUUCCUGUUUGAGCCAUAGAAUUGUAUGUGGGGGCAAGGAAAAUUGAGGGAUCGACACAACAAUAUUUAAGAUCUGUUUUCAGUUACAUUUUUUAUUGUCAAAUAAAUCCAUUAUCAAGCAAA